rnacentral:rRNA from 1 species
GGAACCUUCCACAAUGGACGCAAGUCUGAUGGAGCAACGCCGCGUGAGUGAAGAAGGGUUUCGGCUCGUAAAGCUCUGUUGUUAAAGAAGAACACGUAUGAGAGUAACUGUUCAUACGUUGACGGUAUUUAACCAGAAAGUCACGGCUAACUACGUGCCAG